rnacentral:rRNA from 1 species
AUGCAAGAGGAGCUUGUUGAGGUCAAGAAGAAAUCAGAGGAGACCGAAGCUGCACGCGCCGCAGAGUAUCAGUUGUUACUGCAAAGAGUUGAGGCCAGCGAUGCUAGGGCUGCAGCAAGUGAUUCUAGAUUUGCGCGUCUCAUGGAUCUGUUCGAAGGUAAAUUAGUUACUACAGCGUGGUUGAUGUUGGCUUUGGGACUUUUGAUGCUGAGUUGUUUGGACCUGGGGUUGAUGAGUUUCUUUGGCUGUGUUACUGGCUAUGUUAUUUUGGUUGGUGCAUCUUAUGAACUUGUGGUGUAA